UACGAAGGGGGCGAGCGUUGUUCGGAUUUACUGGGCGUAAAGGGCGCGUAGGCGGCCCUCCUUGUCGCGUGUGAAAGCCCCGGGCUCAACCUGGGAAUUGCGCGCGAAACGGGGGGGCUUGAGUUCGGGAGAGGAGCGUGGAAUUCCCAGUGUAGAGGUGAAAUUCGUAGAUAUUGGGAAGAACACCGGUGGCGAAGGCGGCGCUCUGGACCGAGACUGACGCUGAGACGCGAAAGCGUGGGGAGCAAACAGG
rnacentral:rRNA from 1 species